UGGGGAAUCUUGCACAAUGGGGGAAACCCUGAUGCAGCGACGCCGCGUGAGCGAUGAAGCCCUUCGGGGUGUAAAGCUCUUUCGGCCGGAACGAUAAUGACGGUACCGGCAGAAGAAGCUGCGGCUAACUACGUGCCAGCAGCCGCGGUAAUACGUAGGCAGCGAGCGUUGUUCGGAGUUACUGGGCGUAAAGCGUGCGUAGGCGGUUUUCCAAGUCUGGUGUGAAAUCUCCCGGCUCAACCGGGAGGGUGCGCUAGAAACUGGGAGGCUGGAGUGCGGGAGAGGUAGGCGGAAUUCCUGGUGUAGCGGUGAAAUGCGUAGAUAUCAGGAGGAACACCGGUGGUGUAGACGGCCUGCUGGACCGUGACUGACGCUGAGGCACGAAAGCGUGGGGAGCAAACAGGAUUAGAUACCCUGGUAGUCCACGCCCUAAACGAUGCAUACUUGGUGUGGGCAGUUCAGUCUGUCUGUGCCGUAGCUAACGCGUUAAGUAU
rnacentral:rRNA from 1 species